rnacentral:lncRNA from 1 species
AUCGGGAUUUAACGGAGGGAAAGUGUUGAAAAAACUUAUUUUGAAAGCUGAAAAACGAAAAUCUUUAGCUGAAAAUUUCCGUAUAUAUGCUGUUCUACAGUCCACAAUUACCAGGUUAAAACUAGAUAAUACUUCUUUGAAAGUGAAAAAUAUAUCUUGUAAUAGAUUUGGAAACUUUAGAACUUCUUGUAGUGUAGAAGGGAUGAAUUCGGACAAGUGCUAUCUACAAUCUGGUUGUGUUCAAAGUUCUAACAGUCCGGUUGAUCAUGAUGAUCAAGACCUACUAAAUUUGAAUACUUUCUUUGAGGAACUGAAGAGCAGAUGAUGUUGUAUAACAUAUUUUUCCAGUUGCCAGUAUUCUGUUUUGUGAUUUUUUUUAUUGUUUUCCAAAUGCGACGCGUUUAUUUUUAGCGUGUUCAAGGUAGUCCAACCAGUUUAUUUUGUGAGAGAAGAGCAGUGUACUGUUUGUCACAGUACAUAUGGUCAGUAAGAGGUCCACAGAUACAGUAGCCUGUUAUCUGUAAAGUUUUCACAUGAAUACGUUUUGGGAGGAAUGAAAUCUGUUGGUAAUAUAAGUUGAAUUUAUUACAAGAUAUGUGCCGGUGAUAUUGAAUGAAAAGGUGAAGUCUCAUUAUAUGUGCCCAUGAUGUUGCUGUUGGAUGUAGCCUAGUCCACAGUAGAGAUGCAUCAAGAUGGAUAGCCAUUACAGUAAUACAGAUAAAUUUUAGGGACUUCUUGCAAGUUGAGUCAGCCUCUGGUGGAGAAAUAAGAAAAGCUGUAAGAAGUUCAAAGGAAAAUGUCUUUAAUUGUCAUGUAUAACAAGUUUCUCCACAGGCCCCAUUGCCGUGUAGAUUGAUCAUCAUGUGAAGUCCCUUAAUGUCCCCAUUGAACAAAAAUUAAAUGAUGAAAGUAUCAUUUGUGCCAGAUCCAUAAGAAACAUCGCUGCUACAGUUGUGAGAAGUUUAUGAAAAAGAAUUGGAGGGUUGCAUUAAUUAGAAUUUAGACUUGUGCGACUGAAAAAUAAAUCGUAUAACACUGUUACAUUGAGGGAAACAGGGCUGUACAGUAAUGAACAUGAUGAAAAGGUGACAUUUUUUUUCACAACAGCUUUUAAAGAUUUGGGGAGAGUUAAUACGCAGCGUGUAAAACAUUUGUAAUCUCUACAUAGUUUGUUCGACAGUCAACUUCAGAAGUAAAAAGCUACAAGAAUUGUAUUGUAACGAUUUUUCUUCAUGAUUAAUAUACUGGACUUAUUGUGAGAAAAACAUUUAUUCAUCUUGUGUGGACUGGAAAAUAUUUCCAUCCAGUAUUAACUGUCAUUGAAAGGUCUUUAAAUGUUGAAUCAUCAACAGUGCCAUGUUCAAGGUCAUUGAAACAAGUAAAGUACCAUUGAUGUAGAGGAAUGCAACCAGUGCAUUGUGGUAUCAACUUCACUGAAAAAGUUUAAUUGGCGUCUGAUGCAGAAAUGAGCUAUUACAAUUCUACAAAAGAGCAGGAAGAAAAAUGUCCUUGGCCACCAGUAGCAAGUUUCUCUGGUCAUCAGUAACACAUUUCUCAGUGAUAAGUGGACGGGACAUCCUUGUUUACUCAUCUUGUAGUCUCCAUUUGCUCUUUGCUCUUAGAACUUUUUUCAUGAUGACCUCCUCCAUACUGCCGCAUCAGAAGAUUGUCAUCAAACAUAGACACUGACCAAGGUUGGCUUAAUUGAACAUAAGCUUUACAGAAUAGAAGAGUUUCAAAAGUUGAUGUUAAAAUUAACAAAAUUUCAUAGUUUACCAGUAAAAAAAAUUAGAAAUGUUCCUAUUUAACCUUUGGAAAUUUGAAAUCAGUUUGUUAUUAGGUGCUGAUGCAGAAAUACAGUUUUGAGAAAGUUCGUGUUCAAGCAAGAUGAAAAAUGGCCUUUAUCAUCAGUAGAAAGUACUCUUAAUGGGUUAAUGUCUACGCUUUCCAAACAGAAACGGUAAACACCUGACAUUGAGGGAUACAGUAGAGAUUGUAUAAUAGAAUAAGGUUGCUUGUAAAGAGGGUGACUGAAAAGGUGAUGUUGAUAUAAGAGGUAUUUCUUUGGUGUUAGAUUCAGCGAGGUAAUAUAAAAUGCAGGAAAUAAUUAUGUGCAGCAUAUAAACCAUUAGUCAUCUCUAGAUUGUUAAUUAAAUAAUUGGUCUUUAAAGUUAAAAAUGUUUGUACUUAACCCAUUGUUGGAAAUAUGAAACCGGUUCUUUUCAGGUAUGAUAAGCCUUUGAUGCAGAAAUGAGUCUUGAAAAGUGCAUAUUAAAGUGCUGGUCAUCUGUAAGAAGUUUUUUAGUGAUAAGAGGUCAGGACGUUAUUAUUUGGUAGAUGUUUCUUCAUCUUGAGCAGCUCGCCCGCUUAGCUCAGUAGGAAGAGCAUUGGUCUACGGAUCACGGGGUCACGAGUUCAAUCCUUGUGCGGGGCAUAUGUUCUCCAUGAUCAGACAUUAUGUCUACAAUCAUUCGUUCUCUGCCUCUGAUCAUUCAUGUGGGGAAGUUGGCAGUUACUUGUGGAGGACAGGUUUGUACUUGUACAGAAUGCAGAAACACUGGUUAGGUUAACUGCCCACCGUUACAUGACUGAAAUGCUGUUAAAAAACGGCGUUAAACCCAAGACAAACCAAUCAUCUUGAGCAGUCUCCAUCAUCUUGGAACAGUUUCCAGUUAGUAUUUACAUCUUAAUCAUGAAAAAACUAAAAAAAAUUCAUGAUUAAGAUGUACAUACUGUCACUUCCAAAGAUGAGGUUGUUGAGCAGAAAUUGAAAGCAGCAAUUGGCAAAGCAUGCCUUAUUAUGUAAUGGAAUCAGCUUGACUUAAAGAGGACUUUUAAGAGGUUAUGCCUAUAUUAGCAUUAUUUCUUUCAUAAAAUUUAUAUUAAGUGAAAUUACUUAAGUUUUUACAUAGAUUUUUUCCACAAUUUUUGCAAAUCAGGAAGCAUGGAAAACUGUUCUAGAUAGUUUAUUUUAUAGUUGGCUUUAAAAGAUAGGAAUGUUUAAACUUAGCCCAUUGGUUGCAAAUAUGAAACCAGAUCGUUUCAGGUUUAAUCAGCCUGUGUUGCAGAAAUAAGCCAUAUCAACGCCAUGUUCAAGCAGGAAGAAAAAUGGCCUUGGUCAUUUGGAACAAGGUUCUCCACGAUUUCCCUGGUCAUCAGUAUGAAGUCCCUGGCCAUCUGUAGCAAGUACCUCAGUGAUGAGUAGACUAGACCUCAUUAUUGCAUAACAGUUUCUUCGUCUUUGGGAGACUCGGAUAUUCUCUGUAGAAGUUUGUACAUGAUGAAUGGUACUGCCUUAUAUGAAGACCUGGUUAUUGAUUAGAUAUUGUAUAAAGCCAUUGACAGAAUUUGAGCCAUAAAGGUUGGAUAAUUUUGAUGUUAAUGGUACAGGUAUUUCUGAAAAAUUAAUCUGUGAAAGUUUAUGCAAGCUUUCUUUACAAUAGCUUUUAAAGGUCGGGAAAGAAUUUAUAUACAAGUGUGAAACAUUUUUCAUCUGAAUGGUUCUUUCUACAGUCUGCUCUGAAAGUAAGAAAUGCUUCUAUUUUACCAAUCAUUUGGAAAUGUGAAACCAGUUUGUUUCAGGUGUAAUAAGCCGCUGAUGCAGAAAUAUGUCAAAGAUAAAAGAAAGUUAAUGUCUUUGGUCAUCUGGAAUGUGUGUUGGUCCUCAUUGUUGCAUAUACUUGCCUUUUAUUUGUUGCGAACUCCCAUAGAACUGUUGUUAAGUCAUGAUGAAUACGACAACAGUGCCGUGUCCAAGGAAAUUGAAAAGAAAUUAAACCAUAUUGAUGGGUAUAAAUAGGGACUGAGUAAGGGAAUAAACUUGUCUUACGAGAGGGACUUGGAAAAGAUGAUGUUGACGUUCCAGGUAUUUGUUUCACAUUGUCAUAGAUUUAUAAUUGAAAGGUUACAUAAGUUUUUACAUAGACUUUCUCACAACAGCUUUUUAAAGGUACACAUUAACCAAGAACCUUUCGCAAACCAGGAUACUUCAUUAUACAGUUAAAUUCAAAAUAGAGAAAUGUUUGUACUUGGAAAUAUGAAGCCAGUUCAUUUCAGAUUGAAUGAGGUUGUUAACAGAAAAGUCCAUAUAUAAAAGCUAGAAGAAAAUCGUCCCUGACUACCUGUAAUCCAUAACUUAAUGAUGUCUCCAAUUAUUCUAAAUGACUUUAUUAGUGGCUAGAGGAUGCUUCAUCUUGAACAAUCUCCGGAUAAUAUCCCCUCGGAGCCUUUUUCAUGUUGCUGACAUAAAUAUUGCCAUAUGCAAAGAUUAGAUCAUUGAAAAGGAAAUUUUAAAGUCCUAGACCAAGGGUGAACUACAUAUUGGGAAAGAGGACUUUUCAGAGGUGAGGAUAUUACUAGAGGUAUUUCUUUCGUUAUGAGUAUCAAUCGCUGAAAAAUCAAUAGAAAUUUAACACCAGUCUUAAUCUCAAAACAACUAACAGGUCGGGAAGAAUUUAAAUACAUAGUGGGGAAACAGCUAUAGGUACUUCAAUUAUUAAUAAGCUUUAAAACAUAGGAACUAGCAUGUUUAAUAAAUUGUUUGGAAAUAUGAAACCAGAACGUUUCAGGUUUAAUAAGCCUCUGAUGCAGAAAUACAGUCAUAACAAGUCCCAUGUUCAAGCUAGAUGAAAGCUGUCCUUGAUCAUCUGUAACAUCUUCUGUCCAUGGUAAAUGUUGCGGAGCUCAUUUUUGUGUAAAUGAUGUGUCCAUCUCUUAUGGAGUCCCCAAAGAACUGCCAUUGAUCAGAAUGAUGAAGCAGUCAACAGUACGUCCAAGGUCUUCGAUAAAAAAAUGAAAAAACACCAAACAUUGAGGGAUACAGUAGGAAUUGUGUUAUGGAAUAAGAUUGACUGAAAAGAGAGCAACUUUGAAAAGGUGAUGUUAAUAUUAUAGGUAUUUCACUCGUGUUAGAUAUAUCGAUAAAAGUUGCAUUAAUUUUUACACAUUAUUUCUCCUAACACCCUUUCAGAGGCAUGAAUUAAUUAGUAUACAUUGCAGAAUACAUUUCUCAACUCUAGGUACUUCAUUUGACAGUUCAAUUUAAAAGAUAAAAAAAUGUUUGUACUUGGAAAUAUGAAGCAAGUUGUUUCAGGUUUAAAGAGGUUCUUGUAGAGAAAAAAGGCAUAACCUGUCCAUAUUAAAGCUAGAAAAAAGCUGUCCCUGACCAUCUGUAAACAUCCGCCAUGAUGUCUCCGAUUGUGUGAAACAAGUUUCUCAGUGACUUGUAUUUUGCCAAGAUGUUUCUACAUCUUGAACAGCCUCCAGAUAAUAUCCCUAUGGAACUUUCUUCAUGUCAACUUUAACAUUGCCAUAUGCAAAGAUUAAAUCAUUGGAGGGAAAUUGUGAAAGGUCACAAGAUCAUGAUGAGACUAGAGGUUAAAUAAACCAGUGAUGCAGAAAUACAGUCGUAACAAGUCGAUGUUCAAGCUAGAUGAAAAACGUCUUAAUCUUCUGUAAAAGCACUCUCCAUGGUUAACGUAGUAGAGCUCAUUCUUGCGUAAUCCUGUCCAUCUGUUCUGGAGUCCCCAAAGAACUGCUAUUGAUCAAUCUUUUCAUGAUGAAGCAGUCAACUGUGCCAUGUCCAAGGUCUUCGUCAGAAAAACUAAAAAAGAAACAACAUUGAGGGAUACAAUUUAUAGGGAUUGUGUAAUGGAGUAAGGUUGACUGAAAAGAGAGCAACUUUGAAAAGGUGAUGUUAAUAUUGGAGGUAUUUCUGUCGUGUAAGAUGACAUAUUUACCCAGUAUUUCUCAAAACAUCUUUUCAAAGGCAGGAAUUAAUAUGUAUACAUUACAGAAUACAUUUCUCAACUCUAGAUACUUCAUUUGGCAGUUAAAUUUAAAAGAUAGAAAUGUUUGUACUUGGAAAUAUGAAGCAAGUUCGUUUCAGGUUUAAUGAGGUUCUACAGAAAAGAGGCAUAACACGUCCAUAUUAAAGCUGGAAGAAAAAAGUCCAAGACCAUCUGUAAUCUGUUCCUCCAUGAUGUCCCAGAUAAUGUGAAAUAAGGUUUUCAGUGACUUCAUUUUUGCCUAGAUGUUUCAUCGUAUUGUACAGCCUCCAGAUAAUUUCCUCUAGUUACUUUUGCCGUAUUUUCCACUUAAAUAUUGCCAGAUCUAAAGAUUAGACCGUUGAAAGAAAAUCGUGAAAAGUCAUUUACCAAAGGUUAACUACAUGACGAGAAAGAGUUUUUAAAAAGUGAUAAUAAGGGUAAAGGUAUUUCUUUGUGGUAUUAAUAUAAAUCUAUGAUAACUUGUACCAGAUGCUUUUUCACAACAGCUUCUAAAGGUCUGGAAAGAAUUUAAAUACGUAGUGGAGAUCAGCACUAGAUAGUUCAUUGAAUUGUCAGCUUUAAAAUUUAGGAAAGUUUCUGUUUAACCCAUUGUUUGGAAAUAUGAAACCAGUUAGUUUCAGGUUUAAUAAGCCAAUGAAGCAGAAAUACCGUCAUAAGUCCAUGUUCAAGCUAGAUGAAAAAUGCCCUGGGUCAUCUGUAACAAGUUCUCUCCAUGAUUAAUGUAUUGGAGCUCAUACUGAAGCAAACUUGUACAUCUCUGGUGGAGUCUUGAUGAUGAAGCAGUUAACAGUGAUAUGUCCAAGGUCAUCGAUAGAAACUAAAAAAAAAAAUCUGACAUUGAGGGAUACAGUAGGGAUUGUGUAACAGAUAAGGCUGACUGAAACGAGCAACUUUGAAUUGGUGAUGUUAAUAUUGGAGGGUAAGAAAGUCAGUGAUGCAGAAAUACAGUCAUAACAAGUCCAUGUUCAAGCUAGAGGCAAAAUGUUUGAUCAUCUGUAAAAGUACUCUUCAUGGUUAAUGUACUGGAGCACAUUCUUGCGUAAUCCUGUCCAUCUGUUCUGGAGUCCCCAAAGAACUGCCAUCGAUCAAUCUUUUAAUGAUGAAGCAGUCAAUUGUGCCAUGUCCAAGGUCUUCGACAAAAAAAACAAAACAAUAAAAAAAAAGAUUGUGGGAUACAAUAGGGAUUGUGUAAUGGAGUAAGGUUAACAUUGGAGGUAUUUCUCUCAUGUUAGAUGACAUAAAUUUUACACAGUAUUUCUCAAAAGAUCUUUUCAAAGGCAAGAAUUAAUAUGUAUACAUUACAGAAUACAUUUCUCAACUCUAGAUACUUCAUUUGGGAGUUAAUUCAAAAGAUAGAAAUGUUUGUACUUGGAAAUAUGAACAAGUUCGUUUCAGGUUUAAUGAGGUUCUACAGAAAAGAGGCAUAACAUGUCCAUAUUAAAGCUGGAAGAAAAAAGUCCAAGACCAUCUGUAAUCUGUUCCUCCAUGAUGUCCCAGAUAAUGUGAAAGAAGGUUUUCAGUGACUUCAUUUUUGCCUAGAUGUUUCAUCGUGUUGUACAGCCUCCAGAUAAUUUCCUCUAGUAACUUUUGCCGUAUUUUCCACUUAAAUAUUGCCAGAUCUAAAGAUUAGACCGUUGAAAGAAAAUCGUGAAAAGUCAUUUACCAGAGGUUAACUACAUGACGAGAAAGAGUUUUUAAAAGGUGAUAAUAAGGGUAAAGGUAUUUCUUUGUGGUAUUAAUAUAAAUCUAUGAUAACUUGUACCAGAUGCUUUUUCACAACAGUUUCUAAAGGUCAGGAAAGAAUUUAAAUACGUAGUGGAGAUCAGCACUAGAUAGUUCAUUGAAUUGUCAGCUUUAAAAUUUAGGAAAGUUUCUGUUUAACCCAUUGUUUGGAAAUAUGAAACCAGUUAGUUUCAGGUUUAAUAAGCCAGUGAUGCAGAAAUACAGUCAUAACAAGUCCAUGUUCAAGUUAGAUGAAAAAUGCCCUGGGUCAUCUGUAACAAGUUCUCUCCGUGAUUAAUGUAUUGGAGCUCAUACUAGAGCAAACUUUUACAUCUCUGGUGGAGUCUUGAUGAUGAAGCAGUUAUCAGAGAUAUGUCCAAGGUCAUCGAUAGAAACUAAAAAAAAAAUCUGACAUUGAGGGAGACAGUAGGGAUUGUGUAACAGAUAAGGCUGACUGAAAAGAGCAACUUUGAAUUGGUGAUACUAAUAUUGGAGGUAAUUCUUAUGUUAGGUACAUGUUUCAGUGAAAGGUUACAUGAAUUUUUACAGAACAUUUUUGCACAACAGCUUUUCAAAGGCAGGAAUAACCUUCCCACUUCUAGCUACUUCGUUUAACAGUUAAAUUAAAAUAUGGAAAUGUUUGAACCAAGAAAUAUGAAGUAAGUUCGUUUCAGGUUUAAAGAGGUUCUUAUACAGGAAAGAGGCAUAACAUGGCCAUAUUAAAGUUAGAAAAACACCAUUCCUGACCAUCUGUAACCAUCCACCAUGAUGUGUCUGAUUGUGUGAAACAAGUUUCUCAGUGACUUCUUUUUAGCCUAGAUGUUUCUUCAUCUUGAACAGCUUCCAGACCAUAUCCCCUUGGAACUUGUUUCAUGUCAACUUUAACAUUGCCAUAUGCAAAGAUUAGGUCAUUGGAGGGAAACUGUGAAAGGUCACAAACCAAGGGUUAACUAGUCCACAGAAAAGGAGUUUUUAAAAGAUAAUGACGAGACUAGAGGUAUUUCUUUCGUGUUACUAGUAUCGGUCUAUGAAAGAUUAUCGAACUUGUACAAGUUGUCUUGUUUUCUUUCACAACAGCUUCUAAAGGUUAAGAAAGAAUUCAAAUACAUAGUGGAGAUCAGCUCUAGAUAGUUCAUCAAUUGUAUAGUCGGCUUUAAAAUUUAGCAAGGUUAAUUGUUUGUGUUAAACCCAUUGUUUGGAAAUAUGAAACCAGUUAGUUUCAGGUUAAGUAAGCCAGUGAUGCAGAAAUACAGUCAUAACAAGUCCAUGUUCAAGCUAGAGGCAAAAGUCUUGAUCAUCUGUAAAGUAUUCUUCAUGGUUAAUGUACUGGAGCACAUUCUUGCGUAAUCCUGUCCAUCUGUUCUGGAGUCCCCAAAGAACUGCCAUCGAUCAAUCUUUUAAUGAUGAAGCAGUCAAUUGUGCCAUGUCCAAGGUCUUCGACAAAAAAACAAAACAAAAAAAAAAAAAGAUUGAGAUACAAUAGGGAUUGUGUAACGGAGUAAGGUUGACUGAAAAUGGAGCAACUUUGAAAAGGUGAUGUUAACAUUGGAGGUAUUUCUCUGGUGUUAGAUGACAUUAAUUUCACACAGUAUUUCUCAAAAGAUCUUUUCAAAGGCAAGAAUUAAUAUGUAUACAUUACAGAAUACAUUUCUCAACUCUAGAUACUUCAUUUGGGAGUUAAUUCAAAAGAUAGAAAUGUUUGUACUUGGAAAUAUGAAGCAAGUUCGUUUCAGGUUUAAUGAGGUUCUACAGAAUAGAGGCAUAACAUGUCCAUAAUAAAGCUGGAAGAAAAAAGUCCAAGACCAUCUGUAAUCUGUUCCUCCAUGAUGUCCCAGAUAAUGUGAAAGAAGGUUUUCAGUGACUUCAUUUUUGCCUAGAUGUUUCAUCGUGUUGUACAGCCUCCAGAUAAUUUCCUCUAGUAGCUUUUGCCGUAUUUUCCACUUAAAUAUUGCCAGAUCUAAAGAUUAGACCGUUGAAAGAAAAUCGUGAAAAGUCAUUUACCAAAGGUUAACUACACGACGAGAAAGAGUUUUUAAAAGGUGAUAAUAAGGGUAAAGGUAUUUCUUUGUGGUAUUAAUAUAAAUCUAUGAUAACUUGUACCAGAUGCUUUUUCACAACAGCUUCUAAAGGUCUGGAAAGAAUUUAAAUACGUAGUGGAGAUCAGCACUAGAUAGUUCAUUGAAUUGUCAGCUUUAAAAUUUAGGAAAGUUUCUGUUUAACCCAUUGUUUGGAAAUAUGAAACCAGUUAGUUUCAGGUUUAAUAAGCCAGUGAUGCAGAAAUACAGUCAUAACAAGUCCAUGUUCAAGCUAGAUGAAAAAUGCCCUGGGUCAUCUGUAACAAGUUCUCUCCAUAACGUAUUGGAGCUCAUACUGAAGCAAACUUUUACAUCUCUGGUGGAGUCUUGAUGAUGAAGCAGUUAACAGUGAUAUGUCCAAGGUCAUCGAUAGAAACUAAAAAAAAAAAUCUGACAUUGCGGGAUACAGUAGGGAUUGUGUAACAGAUGAGGCUGACUGAAAAGAGCAACUUUGAAUUGGUGAUGUUAAUAUUGGAGGUAAUUCUCCUGUCGGAUACAUGUUUCAGUGAAAGGUUACAUGAAUUUUUAAAGAACAUUUUUGCACAACAGCUUUUCAAAGGCAGGAAUAACCUUCCAACUUCUAGAUACUUCGUUUAACAGUUAAAUUAAGAUAUGGAAAUGUUUGAACCAAGAAAUAUGAAGCAAGUUCAUUUCAGGUUUAAAGAGGUUCUUAUACAGGAAAGAGGCAUAACAUGGCCAUAUUAAAGUUAGAAAAACGCCAUCCCUGACCAUCUGUAACCAUCCACCAUGAUGUGUCUGAUUGUGUGAAACAAGUUUCUCAGUGACUUCUUUUUGGCCUAGAUGUUUCUUCAUCUUGAACAGCUUCCAGACCAUAUCCCCUUGGAACUUGUUUCAUGUCAACUUUAACAUAGCCAUAUGCAAAGAGUAGGUCAUUGGAGGGAAACUGUGAAAGGUCACAGACCAAGGGUUAACUAGUCCACAGAAAAGGAGUUUUUAAAAGAUAAUGACGAGACUAGAGGUAUUUCUUUCGUGUUAUUAGUAUCAGUCUAUGAAAGAUUAUCGAAGUUUGUACUAGUUGUCUUGUUUCCUUUCACAACAGCUUCUAAAGGUUAAGAAAGAAUUCAAAUACAUAGUGGAGAUCAGCUCUAGAUAGUUCAUCAAUUGUAUAGUCGGCUUUAAAAUUUAGGAAGAUUAACUGUUUGUGUUAAACCCAUUGUUUGGAAAUAUGAAACCAGUUCGUUUCAGGUUAAGUAAGCCAGUGAUGCAGAAAUACAGUCAUAACAAGUCCAUGUUCAAGCUAGAGGCAAAAGUCUUGAUCAUCUGUAAAGUAUUCUUCAUGGUUAAUGUACUGGAGCACAUUCUUGCGUAAUCUUGUCCAUGUGUUCUGGAGUCCCCAAAGAACUGCCAUCGAUCAAUCUUUUAAUGAUGAAGCAGUCAAUUGUGCCAUGUCCAAGGUCUUCGACAAAAAAACAAAACAAAAAAAAAGAUUGAGGGAUACAAUAGGGAUUGUGUAAUGGAGUAAGGUUGACUGAAAAUGGAGCAACUUUGAAAAGGUGAUGUUAACAUUGGAGGUAUUUCUCUGGUGUUAGAUGACAUUAAUUUCACACAGUAUUUCUCAAAAGAUCUUUUCAAAGGCAAGAAUUAAUAUGUAUACAUUACAGAAUACAUUUCUCAACUCUAGAUACUUCAUUUGGGAGUUAAUUCAAAAGAUAGAAAUGUUUGUACUUGGAAAUAUGAAGCAAGUUCGUUUCAGGUUUAAUGAGGUUCUACAGAAUAGAGGCAUAACAUGUCCAUAAUAAAGCUGGAAGAAAAAAGUCCAAGACCAUCUGUAAUCUGUUCCUCCAUGAUGUCCCAGAUAAUGUGAAAUAAGGUUUUCAGUGACUUCAUUUUUGCCUAGAUGUUGUACAGCCUCCAGAUAAUUUCCUCUAGUAACUUUUGCCGUAUUUUCCACUUAAUAAUGCCAGAUCUAAAGAUUAGACCGUUGAAAGAAAAUCGUGAAAAGUCAUUUACCAAAGGUUAACUACAUGACGAGAAAGAGUUUUUAAAAGGUGAUAAUAAGGGUAAAGGUAUUUCUUUGUGGUAUUAAUAUAAAUCUAUGAUAACUUGUACUAGAUGCUUUUUCACAACAGCUUCUAAAGGUCUGGAAAGAAUUUAAAUACGUAGUGGAGAUCAGCACUAGAUAGUUCAUUGAAUUGUCAGCUUUAAAAUUUAGGAAAGUUUCUGUUUAACCCAUUGUUUGGAAAUAUGAAACCAGUUAGUUUCAGGUUUAAUAAGCCAGUGAUGCAGAAAUACAGUCAUAACAAGUCCAUGUUCAAGCUAGAUGAAAAAUGCCUUGGGUCAUCUGUAACAAGUUCUCUCCAUAACGUAUUGGAGCUCAUACUGAAGCAAACUUUUACAUCUCUGGUGGAGUCUUGAUGAUGAAGCAGUUAACAGUGAUAUGUCCAAGGUCAUCGAUAGAAACUAAAAAAAAAAUCUGACAUUGCGGGAUACAGUAGGGAUUGUGUAACAGAUGAGGCUGACUGAAAAGAGCAACUUUGAAUUGGUGAUGUUAAUAUUGGAGGUAAUUCUCCUGUCGGAUACAUGUUUCAGUGAAAGGUUACAUGAAUUUUUAAAGAACAUUUUUGCACAACAGCUUUUCAAAGGCAGGAAUAACCUUCCCACUUCUAGAUACUUCGUUUAACAGUUAAAUUAAAAUAUGGAAAUGUUUGAACCAAGAAAUAUGAAGCAAGUUCAUUUCAGGUUUAAAGAGGUUCUUAUACAGGAAAGAGGCAUAACAUGGCCGUAUUAAAGUUAGAAAAACGCCAUCCCUGACCAUCUGUAACCAUCCACCAUGAUGUGUCUGAUUGUGUGAAACAAGUUUCUCAGUGACUUCUUUUUGGCCUAGAUGUUUCUUCAUCUUGAACAGCUUCCAGACCAUAUCCCCUUGGAACUUUUUUCAUGUCAACUUUAACAUAGCCAUAUGCAAAGAUUAGGUCAUUGGAGGGAAACUGUGAAAGGUCACAGACCAAGGGUUAACUAGUCCACAGAAAAGGAGUUUUUAAAAGAUAAUGAUGAGACUAGAGGUAUUUCUUUCGUGUUAUUAGUAUCAGUCUAUGAAAGAUUAUCGAAGUUUGUACUAGUUGUCUUGUUUACUUUCACAACAGCUUCUAAAGGUUAAGAAAGAAUUCAAAUACAUAGUGGAGAUCAGCUCUAGAUAGUUCAUCAAUUGUAUAGUCGGCUUUAAAAUUUAGGAAGAUUAACUGUUUGUGUUAAACCCAUUGUUUGGAAAUAUGAAACCAGUUCGUUUCAGGUUAAGUAAGCCAGUGAUGCAGAAAUACAGUCAUAACAAGUCCAUGUUCAAGCUAGAGGCAAAAUGUCUUGAUCAUCUGUAAAAGUACUCUUCAUGGUUAAUGUACCGGAGCACAUUCUUGCGUAAUCCUGUCCAUCUGUUCUGGAGUCCCCAAAGAACUGCCAUCGAUCAAUCUUUUAAUGAUGAAGCAGUCAACUGUGACAUGUCCAAGGUCUUCGACAAAAAAACAAAACAAAUAAAAAGAUUGAGGGAUACAAUAGGGAUUGUGUAAUGGAGUAAGGUUGACUGAAAAUGGAGCAACUUUUAAAAGGUGAUGUUAACAUUGGAGGUAUUUCUCUGGUGUUAGAUGACAUAAAUUUUAUACAGUAUUUCUCGAAAGAUCUUUUCAAAGGCAAGAAUUAAUAUGUAUACAUUACAGGAUACAUUUCUCAAUUAUAGAUACUUCAUUUGGGAGUUAAUUCAAAAGAUAGAAAUGUUUGUACUUGGAAAUAUGAACAAGUUCGUUUCAGGUUUAAUAAGGUUCUACAGAAAAGAGGCAUAACACGUCAAUAUUAAAGCUGGAAGAGAAAAGUCCAAGACCAUCUGUAAUCUGUUCCUCCAUGAUGUCCCAGAUAAUGUGAAAUAAGGUUUUCAGUGACUUCAUUUUUGCCUAGAUGUUUCAUCGCAUUGUACAGCCUCCAGAUAAUUUCCUCUAGUAACUUUUGCCGUAUUUUCCACUUAAUAAUUCCAGAUCUAAAGAUUAGACCGUUGAAAGAAAAUCGUGAAAAGUCAUUUACCAAAGGUUAACUACAUGACGAGAAAGAGUUUUUAAAAGGUGAUAAUAAGGGUAAAGAUAUUUCUUUGUGGUAUUAAUAUAAAUCUGUGAUAAGUUGUACCAGAUGCUUUUUCACAACAGCUUCUAAAGGUCUGGAAAGAAUUUAAAUACGUAGUGGAGAUCAGCACUAAAUAGUUCAUUGAAUUGUCAGCUUUAAAAUUUAGGAAAGUUUCUGUUUAACCCAUUGUUUGGAAAUAUGAAACCAGUUAGUUUCAGGUUUAAUAAGCCAGUGAUGCAGAAAUACAGUCAUAACAAGUCCAUGUUCAAGCUAGAUGAAAAAUGCCUUGGGUCAUCUGUAACAAGUUUUCGCCAUGAUUAAUGUAUUGGAGCUCAUACUGAAGCAAACUUUUACAUCUCUGGUGGAGUCUUGAUGAUGAAGCAGUUAACAGUGAUAUGUCCAAGGUCAUCGAUAGAAACUAAAAAAAAAAUCUGACAUUGAGGGAUACAGUAGGGAUUGUGUAACAGAUAAGGCUGACUGAAAAGAGCAACUUUGAAUUGGUGAUGUUAAUAUUGGAGGUAAUUCUCCUGUUAGAUACAUGUUUCAGUGAAAGGUUACAUGAAUUUUUACAAAACAUUUUUGCACAACAGCUUUUUAAAGGCAGGAAUAACCUUCCCAUUUCUAGAUACUUCGUUUAACAGUUAAAUUAAAAUAUGGAAAUGUUUGAACCAAGAAAUAUGAAGCAAGUUCGUUUCAGGUUUAAAGAGGUUCUUAUACAGGAAAGAGGCAUAACAUGGCCAUAUUAAAGUUAGAAAAACGCCAUCCCUGACCAUCUGUAACCAUCCACCAUGAUGUGUCUGAUUGUGUGAAACAAGUUUCUCAGUGACUUCUUUUUGGCCUAGAUGUUUCUUCAUCUUGAACAGCUUCCAGACCAUAUCCCCUUGGAACUUUUUUCAUGUCAACUUUAACAUAGCCAUAUGCAAAGAUUAGGUCAUUGGAGGGAAACUGUGAAAGGUCACAGACCAAGGGUUAACUAGUCCACAGAAAAGGAGUUUUUAAAAGAUAAUGACGAGACUAGAGGUAUUUCUUUCGUGUUAUUAGUAUCAGUCUAUGAAAGAUUAUCGAAGUUUGUACUAGUUGUCUUGUUUUCUUUCACAACAGCUUCUAAAGGUUAAGAAAGAAUUCAAAUACAUAGUGGAGAUCAGCUCUAGAUAGUUCAUCAAUUGUAUAGUCGGCUUUAAAAUUUAGGAAAGUUUGUGUUUAACCCAUUGUUUGGAAAUAUGAAACCAGUUCGUUUCAGGUUAAGUAAGCCAGUGAUGCAGAAAUACAGUCAUAACAAGUCCAUGUUCAAGCUAGAGGCAAAAUGUCUUGAUCAUCUGUAAAAGUACUCUUCAUGGUUAAUGUACCGGAGCACAUUCUUGCGUAAUCCUGUCCAUCUGUUCUGGAGUCCCCAAAGAACUGCCAUCGAUCAAUCUUUUAAUGAUGAAGCAGUCAACUGUGACAUGUCCAAGGUCUUCGACAAAAAAACAAAACAAAUAAAAAGAUUGAGGGAUACAAUAGGGAUUGUGUAAUGGAGUAAGGUUGACUGAAAAUGGAGCAACUUUGAAAAGGUGAUGUUAACAUUGGAGGUAUUUCUCUCGUGUUAGAUGACAUAAAUUUUACACAGUAUUUCUCGAAAGAUCUUUUCAAAGGCAAGAAUUAAUAUGUAUACAUUACAGAAUACAUUUUUCAACUCUAGAUUCUUCAUUUGGGAGUUAAUUCAAGAUAGAAAUGUUUGUACUUGGAAAUAUGAACAAGUUCGUUUCAGGUUUAAUGAGGUUCUACAGAAAAGAGGCAUAACACGUCCAUAUUAAAGCUGGAAGAGAAAAGUCCAAGACCAUCUGUAAUCUGUUCCUCCAUGAUGUCCCAGAUAAUGUGAAAUAAGGUUUUCAGUGACUUCAUUUUUGCCUAGAUGUUUCAUCGUAUUGUACAGCCUCCAGAUAAUUUCCUCUAGUAACUUUUGCCGUAUUUUCCACUUAAUAAUGCCAGAUCUAAAGAUUAGACCGUUGAAAGAAAAUCGUGAAAAGUCAUUUACCAAAGGUUAACUACAUGACGAGAAAGAGUUUUUAAAAGGUGAUAAUAAGGGUAAAGAUAUUUCUUUGUGAUAUUAAUAUAAAUCUGUGAUAACUUGUACCAGAUGCUUUUUCACAACAGCUUCUAAAGGUCAGGAAAGAAUUUAAAUACGUAGUGGAGAUCAGCACUAGAUAGUUCAUUGAAUUGUCAGCUUUAAAAUUUAGGAAAGUUUCUGUUUAACCCAUUGUUUGGAAAUAUGAAACCAGUUAGUUUCAGGUUUAAUAAGCCAAUGAUGCAGAAAUACAGUCAUAACAAGUCCAUGUUCAAGCUAGAUGAAAAAUGCCCUGGGUCAUCUGUAACAAGUUUUCGCCAUGAUUAAUGUAUUGGAGCUCAUACUGAAGCAAACUUUUACAUCUCUGGUGGAGUCUUGAUGAUGAAGCAGUUAACAGUGAUAUGUCCAAGGUCAUCAAUAGAAACUAAAAAAAAAAUCUGACAUUGAGGGAUACAGUAGGGAUUGUGUAACAGAUAAGGCUGACUGAAAAGAGCAACUUUGAAUUGGUGAUGUUAAUAUUGGAGGUAAUUCUCCUGUUAGAUACAUGUUUCAGUGAAAGGUUACAUGAAUUUUUACAAACCAUUUUUGCACAACAGCUUUUCAAAGGCAGGAAUAACCUUCCCACUUCUAGAUACUUCGUUUAACAGUUAAAUUAAAAUAUGGAAAUGUUUGAACCAAGAAAUAUGAAGCAAGUUCAUUUCAGGUUUAAAGAGGUUCUUAUACAGGAAAGAGGCAUAACAUGGCCAUAUUAAAGUUAGAAAAACGCCAUCCCUGACCAUCUGUAACCAUCCACCAUGAUGUGUCUGAUUGUGUGAAACAAGUUUCUCAGUGACUUCUUUUUUGCCUAGAUGUUUCUUCAUCUUGAACAGCUUCCAGACCAUAUCCCCUUGGAACUUUUUUCAUGUCAACUUUAACAUUGCCAUAUGCAAAGAUUAGGUCAUUGGAGUGAAACUGUGAAAGGUCACAGACCAAGGGUUAACUAGUCCACAGAAAAGGAGUUUUUAAAAGAUAAUGACUAGACUAGAGGUAUCUUUUUCGUGUUAUUAGUAUCGGUCUAUAAAAGAUUAUCGAAGUUUGUCUUGUUUUCUUUCACAACAGCUUCUAAAGGUUAAGAAAGAAUUCAAGUACAUAGUGGAGAUCAGCUCUAGAUAGUUCAUCAAUUGUAUAGUCGGCUUUAAAAUUUAGGAAAGUUUGUGUUUAACCCAUUGUUUGGAAAUAUGAAACCAGUUCGUUUCAGGUUAAGUAAGCCAGUGAUGCAGAAAUACAGUCAUAAGUCCAUGUUCAAGCUAGAGGCAAAAUGUCUUGAUCAUCUGUAGAAGUACUCUUCAUGGUUAAUGUACUGGAGCACAUUCUUGCGUAAUCCUGUCCAUCUGUUCUGGAGUCCCCAAAGAACUGCCAUCGAUCAAUCUUUUAAUGAUGAAGCAGUCAACUGUGACAUGUCGAAGUUCUUUGAGGAAAAAAAAAAAAAAAAAGAUUGAGGGAUACAAUAGGGAUUGUGUAAUGGAGUAAGGUUGACUGAAAAUGGAGCAACCUUGAAAAGGUGAUGUUAACAUUGGAGGUAUUUCUCUCAUGUUGGAUGACAUAAAUUUUACACAGUAUUUCUCAAAAGAUCUUUUCAAAGGCAAGAAUUAAUAUGUAUACAUUACAGAAUACAUUUCUCAACUCUAGAUACUUCAUUUGGCAGUUAAAUUGAAAACAUAGAAAUGUUUGUACUUGGAAAUAUGAAGCAAGUUCGUUUCAGGUUUAAUGGGGUUCUACAGAAAAGAGGCAUAACACGUCCAUAUUAAAGCUGGAAGAAAAAAGUCCAAGACCAUCUGUAAUCUGUUCCUCCAUGAUGUCCCAGAUAAUGUGAAAUAAGGUUUUCAGUGACUUCAUUUUUGCCUAGAUGUUUCAUCGUGUUGUACAGCCUCCAGAUAAUUUCCUCUAGUAACUUUUGCCGUAUUAUCCACUUAAAUAUUGCCAGAUCUAAAGAUUAGACCGUUGAAAGAAAAUCGUGAAAAGUCAUUUACCAAAGGUUAACUACAUGACGAGAAAGAGUUUUUAAAAGGUGAUAAUAAGGGUAAAGAUAUUUGUUUGUGGUAUUAAUAUAAAUCUGUGAUAACUUGUACCAGAUGCUUUUUCACAACAGCUUCUAAAGGUCAGGAAAGAAUUUAAAUACGUAGUGGAGAUCAGCACUAGAUAGUUCAUUGAAUUGUCAGCUUUAAAAUUUAGGAAAGUUUCUUUUUAACCCAUUGUUUGGAAAUAUGAAACCAGUUAGUUUCAGGUUUAAUAAGCCAGUGAUGCAGAAAUACCGUCAUAACAAGUCCAUGUUCAAGCUAGAUGAAAAAUGCCCUGGGUCAUCUGUAACAAGCUUUCUCCAUGAUUAAUGUAUUGGAGCUCAUACUGAAGCAAACUUUUACAUCUCUGGUGGAGUCUUGAUGAUGAAGCAGUUAACAGUGAUAUGUCCAAGGUCAUCGAUAGAAACUAAAAAAAAAUCUGACAUUGAGGGAUACAGUAGGGAUUGUGUAACAGAUGAGGCUAACUGAAAAGAGCAACUUUGAAUUGGUGAUGUUAAUAUUGGAGGUAAUUCUCCUGUUAGAUACAUGUUUCAGUGAAAGGUUACAUGAAUAUUUACAAAACAUUUUUGCACAACAGCUUUUCAAAGGCAGGAAUAACCUUCCCACUUCUAGAUACUUCGUUUAACAGUUAAAUUAAAAUAUGGAAAUGUUUGAACCAAGAAAUAUGAAGCAAGUUCAUUUCAGGUUUAAAGAGGUUCUUAUACAGGAAAGAGACAUAACAUGGCCAUAUUAAAGUUAGAAAAACGCCAUCUGUAACCAUCCACCAUGAUGUGUCAUAUUAUGUGAAACAAGUUUCUCAGUGACUUCUUUUUUGCCUAGAUGUUUCUUCAUCUUGAACAGCUUCCAGACCAUAUCCCCUUGGAACUUUUUUCAUGUCAACUUUAACAUAGUCAUAUGCAAAGAUUAGGUCAUUGGAGGGAAACUGUGAAAGGUCACAGACCAAGGGUUAACUAGUCCACAGAAAAGGAGUUUUUAAAAGAUCAUGACGAGACUAGAGGUAUCUUUUUCGUGUUAUUAGUAUCAGUCUAUGAAAGAUUAUCGAAGUUUGUCUUGUUUUCUUUCACAACAGCUUCUAAAGGUUAAGAAAGAAUUCAAGUACAUAGUGGAGAUCAGCUCUAGAUAGUUCAUCAAUUGUAUAGUCGGCUUUAAAAUUUAGGAAAGUUUGUGUUUAACCCAUUGUUUGGAAAUAUGAAACCAGUUAGUUUCAGGUUUAAUAAGCCAGUGAUGCAGAAAUACCGUCAUAAAAAGUCCAUGUUCAAGCUAGAUGAAAAAUGCCCUGGGUCAUCUGUAACAAGCUUUCUCCAUGAUUAAUGUAUUGGAGCUCAUACUGAAGCAAACUUUUACAUCUCUGGUGGAGUCUUGAUGAUGAAGCAGUUAACAGUGAUAUGUCCAAGGUCAUCGAUAGAAACUAAAAAAAAAAUCUGACAUUGAGGGAUACAGUAGGGAUUGUGUAACAGAUGAGGCUAACUGAAAAGAGCAACUUUGAAUUGGUGAUGUUAAUAUUGGAGGUAAUUCUCCUGUUAGAUACAUGUUUCAGUGAAAGGUUACAUGAAUAUUUACAAAACAUUUUUGCACAACAGCUUUUCAAAGGCAGGAUUAACCUUCCCACUUCUAGAUACUUCGUUUAACAGUUAAAUUAAAAUAUGGAAAUGUUUGAACCAAGAAAUAUGAAGCAAGUUCAUUUCAGGUUUAAAGAGGUUCUUAUACAGGAAAGAGACAUAACAUGGCCAUAUUAAAGUUAGAAAAACGCCAUCUGUAACCAUCCACCAUGAUGUGUCAUAUUAUGUGAAACAAGUUUCUCAGUGACUUCUUUUUUGCCUAGAUGUUUCUUCAUCUUGAACAGCUUCCAGACCAUAUCCCCUUGGAACUUUUUUCAUGUCAACUUUAACAUAGUCAUAUGCAAAGAUUAGGUCAUUGGAGGGAAACUGUGAAAGGUUACAGACCAAGGGUUAACUAGUCCACAGAAAAGGAGUUUUUAAAAGAUCAUGACGAGACUAGAGGUAUCUUUUUCGUGUUAUUAGUAUCAGUCUAUGAAAGAUUAUCGAAGUUUGUCUUGUUUUCUUUCACAACAGCUUCUAAAGGUUAAGAAAGAAUUCAAGUACAUAGUGGAGAUCAGCUCUAGAUAGUUCAUCAAUUGUAUAGUCGGCUUUAAAAUUUAGGAAAGUUUGUGUUUAACCCAUUGUUUGGAAAUAUGAAACCAGUUUGUUUCAGGUUAAGUAAGCCAGUGAUGCAGAAAUACAGUCAUAACAAGUCCAUGUUCAAGCUAGAGGCAAAAUGUCUUGAUCAUCUGUAAAAGUACUCUUCAUGGUUAAUGUACUGGAGCACAUUCUUUAGUAAUCCUGUCCAUCUGUUCUGGAGUCCCCAAAGAACUGCCAUCGAUCAAUCUUUUAAUGAUGAAGCAGUCAACUGUGACAUGUCCAAGUUCUUCGACAAAAAAAAAAGAAAAAAAGAUUAAGGGAUACAAUAGGGAUUGUGUAUUGGAGUAAGGUUGACUGAAAAUGGAGCAAUCUUGAAAAGGUGAUGUUAAUAUUGGGGGUAUUUCUCUCCUGUUGGAUGACAUAAAUUUUACACAGUAUUUCUCAAAAGAUCUUUUCAAAGGCAAGAAUUAAUAUGUAUACAUUACAGAAUACAUUUCUCAACUCUAGAUACUUCAUUUGGCAGUUAAAUUGAAAAGAUAGAAAUGUUUGUACUUGGAAAUAUGAACAAGUUCGUUUCAGGUUUAAUGAGGUUCUACAGAAAAGAGGCAUAACACGUCCAUAUUAAAGCUGGAAGAAAAAAGUCCAAGACCAUCUGUAAUAUGUUCCUCCAUGAUGUCCCAGAUAAUGCGAAACAAGGUUUUCAGUGACUUUAUUUUUACCUAGAUGUUUCAUCGUGUUUUACAGCCUCCAGAUAAUUUCAUCUAGUAACUUUUGCCGUUGUCCACUUAAAUAUUGCCAUAUCUAAAGAUUAGACCAUUGAAAGAAAAUGUGGAAAGUCAUUUACCAAAGGUUAACUACAAGACGGGAAUGAGUUUUCAAAAGGUGAUAAUAAGGGAAAAGGUAUUUCUUUGUGGUGUUAAUAUAAAUCUAUGAAAACUUGUACUAGAUGUUUUUUCACAACAGCUUCUAAAAGUCCAAAAAGAAUUUAAAUAUGUAAUGGAGAUCAGCACUAGAUAGUUCACUGAAUUGUCAGCUUUAAAAUUUAGGAAAGUUUCUGUUUAGCCCAUUGUUUGGAAAUAUGAAACCAGUUAGUUUCAGGUUUGAUUAGCCAGUGAUGCAGAAAUACAGUCAUAAGAAGUCCAUGUUCAAGCUAGAUGAAAAAUGCCCUGGGUCAUCUGUAACAAGUUCUCUCCAUGAUAAAUGUAUUGGAGCUCAUUCUUAAGCAAACUUUUACAUCUCUGGUGGAGUCUUAAAAUAUGAUGAAGCAGUUAACAGUGAUAUGUCCAAGGUCAUCUAUAGAAACUAAAAAAAACCUUGACAUUGAGGGAUACAGUAGGAAUUGUGUAACAGAUAAGGCUGACUGAAAAGAGCAACUUUGAAUUGGUGAUGUUAAUAUUGGAGGUAAAUUCUCAUGUUAGAUACAUGUUUCAAUGAAAGGUAACACGAAUUUUUACAGAACAUUUUUGCACAACAGCUUUUUAAAGGCAGUAAUAACCUUCUCACUUCUAGAUACUUUGUUUAAGUUAAAUUCAAAAUAUAGAAAUGUUUGUACCAAGAAAUAUGAAGCAAGUUUGUUUCAGGUUAAAAGAGGUUCUUAUACAGGAAAGAGGCAUAACAUAUCCAUAUUAAAGUUAGAAAAAGCCAUCCCUGACCAUCUGUAACCAUCCAGCAUGAUGUCUCCGAUUGUGUGAAACAAGUUUCUCAGUGACUUCUUUUUUACCUACAUGUUUCUUCAUCUUGAACAGCCUCCAGAUAAUAUCCCCUUGAAACUUUUUUCAUGUCAACUUUAACAUUGCCAUAUGCAAAGAUUAGAUCAUUGGAGGGAAAUUAUGGAAGGUCAUAGACCAAGGGUUAGCUAGUCCACAGAAAAGGAGUUUUUAAAAGAUCAUGACGAGACUAGAGGUAUUUUUUUCGUGUUAUUAGUAUCGAUCUGUGAAAGAUUAUCAAAGUUUGUUCUAGUUGUCUUUGUUUUCUUUCACAACAGCUUCUAAAGGUUAAGAAAGAAUUCAAAUACAUAGUGGAGAUCAGCUCUAGAUAGUUCAUCAAUUGUAAAGUCAGCUUUAAAAUUUAGGAAAGAUUGUGUUUAACCCAUUGUUUGGAAAUAUUAAGCCAGUGAUGCAGAAAUACAGUGGUAACAAGUCCAUGUUCAAGCUAGAGGAAAAAUGUCUUGAUCAUCUGUAAAAGUACUCCAUGGUUAAUGUACUGGAGCUCAUUCUUGCAUUAUCCUGUUCAUCUGUUCUGGAGUCCCCAAAGAACUGCCAUUGAUCAAUCUUUUAACUCCUUGGGGCCGAAAUACGACUAAAGGCGCUAUAUUUUCUA